AAGUCUUUCGACAUGUGUGCUUGGAUCUCUUUUUAAAAAAGUUUGAGGGCAUUUUAGUUAUUUCUUAUUAGCUACAUACGUGCCCUUUGGGCUCUUCACAGUUAUACGUGUACGUCUUUUGCUAUUACCACACAUAGACACAAGAGAAACCAUCAGAGAAGCGAUCCAUCAAGACCAGUUUAAAAUCGGGUAAAAAUUUGUUUUUAAAUUUCGGAUUUUAAUUUGAUGCGCUGUGAGUUGUGUUUGUACCUGUGAUGUGUGCUUAAUUUUCCUACUUUUUCCUCAAAUCUCUUGAACUAAAUCAAUUAACCCAAAGAAGAAUCGGAAAUUCUCGAGCUAAGGUUUUGAUUGAUGAAUUUGGGAAAUUUUAUUGUUUUCUAUAUGUUUCUUCUUCUUUUUUAUUUUAAAUUCAUUAAAACAAAGUGAAUUAGUUAUAAAUUUUCGAGUUAAGGUUUCGCUGGAUGAAAUUGGGGAUUUUUUUAUUUUUCGGAGAUGAAUUGAAAUCAAGAAAAUAAAUUUACUUUCUUUACUUGCUUGAAUUUUUGUUUUUACAUCAAAUACCAGUCGCGUAAUUUAUGUGCUGCAUGUAAAGCAUAUAGGAGAGUAGUAAAGACCAAAAUUAUGUUGUAAAAGGAGAAAGAAAUUCAUGUUCACACUUAAACGAAAAAAGUGUGUAUCAAAAUAUCUUUGAAGAAGUUGUAAUCGUAUUUGUUGUAAUUGUGUGAAGAGUCUUUUCCAAAAGGCAUGAUUAAGUUGUAACCAUAUGAAUCUAUUCAGCCACAUCUUUUAGAAAAGAAAUUCUUAAGGAAAAAAUAAGGGAAAAGAGAGAUAAUUUACUUAGUGUGAUGAUUUACCUUAUAAACAUGCAGUUUUUGAAAUGUUUCAAUAGGCCACUAAAAGAGUAAAAGUAGAUCCUCUAAGACCUUUAUAUGUUAGUAGUACUUCAAAGUUCUAUGUUUACGGUCUAUCAAGAAUUCCAACCAUGGCAAAAUGAUUAUACUUAUCAAAACAGAACACCAGCAUGGACACUCCAUUUUAAUGACAGAAAGGUGUUUCUUUUCUUUUAUCCUUAACUAAAUGUUCUAGAUUCGAAUUUUAGGAAUAGAGAAAUUCUUGGUAGCGAACCUUCUCUCUUUAAUUGGCUCUACGAGGCUACGAGAAUGAAAGGAUGUAUUUAAUUGGACAUAUGUAAUGCGGAUUUACAUUAGUCGAGCAGCAAUAACCAAUUUAUAAUAAUAUCUAAAGAGAGUUAAGAUACACUAAUAUUAGAUAGCUUAUAUAAGUUAAAUUGCAACAAGUAGGUGGUACAGUCGGUGAGGAUUGUCUUUGUCAUUGCUAAUUGAAUCAAUACAUCAUGCAUGUUUGUUAUUAAUGGCCAACUACAUUGUGGGAUUGUAGUUGUGCAGUUGGAAGACAGUAUUGCGUUCAAUUCGAAAGGCAUGGUUUUCACUUUUCAGUAUGUUUUUUCAUAGGAUAGCUUCCAACAGAACUUCUCUCCAUUAACAGAUAAUAAAAGUCUUUAGAUAUAAACAAGUUAUUGCUUUGUUCUAAUUCUCCGUCACAUGUAUUAGCAAAAGGAGAAAAUAAAUGAAUGCGUGAAUGAGAACCGAUUUGCCUUCCCUUUUUUCUCUCGCUAUUCACUCUGGCCUCCUCCAUAUUUCUUCCUUUUCUAAUCUCUAUUUCUUUCCUGACCGCAUGCUUCUUGAGCUUUUAGGGGUCUUUUUUUUCCUCUGUUUAUCUAAGUUGCUUGUGCUUUGAUGUGAUUCUUGCUGCAUAUUGUAGGAAAAUGUAAAUUAAUGGAAUUAGCUUUGCAGCGUGACUUACUAGCUAUCUAUCUUUGAUAUUUCUUUUUUAAUUUAGGGGCUUUACAUUUUUCAAUUUGGGACAGGUUUUAAAUUUUUUUGGAUUGAUAUAAAUUAAAGGAACUAUAUUUGUGAUUUGCAUCUAUCUAUCUAUCUAUCUCUGAACAUCCGAGAAAAAACAGUACAGCUGCAAAAGCAGGCAAUGAUCCUUUUUGAGUUGAAAUUUGACUUUGGUCUUAAGUCUUUAGGCUCCAUUAUUGCCUAUUCCAGUUUUUCUUCAAGUUUCUUCUUCACUCUGGUGAUUAGCUUUUACUUGACUUGUACAUUAUUUCCUUUUCUCUUUCAUUUCGGGGUCUAUCAUAUAUGUGAAUUUUGAGGAGUUUCUUGGUGAUAGGAUUUUGAUGAUAUGUGUUAGGUUUUUGCAGUUUCCUUCUUUGUGCUUUUGAGCUCUGUUCUAUUUGAGACUUUGAUAGUUGUUUUUCUUCUUAUUUUGGACUAUUUUGAUGGUUUUGCGAAAUUGAUGAAGGGUUCUUGUGAUUACUUUGCCUUAAUUGUUUUGGGAUGACUAUAUCAUAUGGCACCUUCAUGCUUCAUAUAUUUCCCUGAAAUUGUAUGUCGUAUGUUCGACCAAUUGGUUGAAUGACAUUGGACUAUUGGAGCCUAUUAAGGCUCCAAUGCACACUGAACGUGUAGAAGUGCAAUUUUUAGCUUUGAUAAUUGAUAAAUAUUCUGAGCUCUAAGAUAAAUAAGGAAAAUGAGUUGUGUUUGAGGGAUAUGACGCAAAGGUUUGUCAUAUCUUUGUUCCCUGAUUAUACAUGUAAAAACAUUGCACCUUGAUCUUUCAUUGUGUUGUUUCAUUAUCCUAUUUUUUCUAUCUUCAUCCUUGUAUCUGCAGAUGAAAGUAUAAUUUAAAAUUAUGUAUCUUUUUAAUCUGAAUUAUCAAUAUUAUCCAAAAAGUUAUUUUAAAACAUAAAAUUGUGCUAACAAGCUUCAGAAAUGGUAUACUAAGUACUUGUAGUGCCAAAAUGAUCAAAAUGAUCCAUCUGUUUUAGGAUGUUUUAGGAUUUCUUGCAAUUCUGUAUAUCAAUUAGAAUAGCUUUAUUAAAAAUAAUUCCAAAUAUCUUUUAGUAGUUAAUUUGCCAUGUCAAGCCUUUAAAGUUUUGAUAAUUUAAGAUUCUAUUAUUUUUGGUUUCAUACAGGCCUAUAUAUCUUUAGUAAAUUUACAAUAUCAAGACUUUCAAGUUUUGAGCUUUUUAUUUGAGCUAGAUAUGCUUUCAUUGUUUGCCGAUCUGUUCCUAUAAACAUUUUUAGUAGUUUAACUAGAUAUUUGUUGAUGCAUUGUUGCAAAGGUUAAAUAGGACAGAGCAGAACAUGAUUUGAAAAUUUUGUCUCUUUAUCAGAAUACGAUUCUCUCUCCAUGUACUGAAGAAAGAGUUGUAUCAGAUCAAAAAGCUAUAUUACUCGCCUUUGUUGAUCAAAUACAAGAGUUCUGUGUCUUAGCUUCUUGUUCCAGUUAGUCUUUCACAUGACCGAUAGCUACUCUAUCAUUGCUCGCACUUCGUUAUGGAUUGAAAUAAGUGGUAAGUAAUUUUUCUCAAUGACUUGUUAUAUUAGUAGUGUUAUCGUCUUUUUAGUACUAUUAUUUUUCUACUGAUGACACCAAUAGAGAUAACAGUGGAUAAAUGUUAUCAAUCUAAAAAAAUGAGAUAACAGUGGAUAAACAAAUAUAGCGCUACACUGCCAGACAAAACUAACUCCUAUUUUUUAUUGAAUUCAUGGCAGCUUUUAAUUGUUACUUUUUUACUUGGGAGUAGAAACUCAAAUCUAUUGUCAAAAAGAACGCCUCUAAUGUUCAUGAACAAAAGAAGCGCACAAAAAUUAAAUAUUAGCUUGACGCAUACUGAUGUAAUUUAUAAUGUUUAUAUGAGAAAUAAAAUGAGAAUGGUUGCACAUAGUUUGAUGUAAUCUAUGAUAUUUAUGUAAAAGAGAUUACAAAAGAGAAUAAUCACACAUAGCUCAAACAUUCUGUUUUCUUUUGUAAAUGAUCUAAAAGUGACAGCUGCCAAGAAAAACUUGUGGCUCUUGAUGCUUUAAAAACAUUAUAGAAAUAUAUGUAACAACUUGAACUGUCGUCGCAUGUGUUACCGCCCAUAUUUCCCGUUUUAUACUUUAUUAUGUUUCAUUAUAUGUGUUUGGAGAAAUUGAAGUAAUCAGGAUGGAGUUCGGUUAGAAAUGAGACAAUUAGUCUUUUUAUGAGAAGGUUAGUUUGGAAAAGACAACCGAAUGUUGACUUAUGAGUUAGAGGGAUCGGAAUGAAUUUUCGACGAUUUGACUAGUUUCGGGUGGUGAUUACUGAGUUAGGAGUGCAAUCAGAACUGAAUUUGGAGGUCCGGUGUAGAAUUAGGCUUGAAUUGGCUAAGGUUGAAUUUUGGCGAAGUCUGGUUGAUAGGUGAGAUUUUUAUCCGGGGGUCGGAAUGAAAUUACGACAGUUGCAGUAGCUCUAUUAGGUGAUUUUGGAUAUGCGUGCAUACUUUUAGGUCAUUCGAAGGUGUUUAGGUUGGUCUUAGAUCAAAUGCAAGUUUCGGAAGUUUUACUUUGACUUAGGCUUGAAUCCGUGCUAAUUUGAUGAUUCUGAUGUUUAUGAUUGUAUUGUUAUGCUAUGAGCAAGUUUAAAUGUGGUUUAGAACAUAUAUGUGCUUUUGGUUGAGGUCCAGAGGGCCUCGGGGUUAUUUCGGAUGGCUAACGGGAAUUUUUGAAGUUGAAGAGUGCAGCAGAAAAUUGCAGAGGAAUUUUCCUCUAUGCGGUCGUGUAGGCCUAGCUGCGAUUGCAUAGAUGGCCUGGAGGAGUCUCAGAAAUUUCUCUAUGCGAUCGCGUAAGGGGGCUUGAGAUCGCAUAGGUAUGGGGGAUUGUUCAGUGCGAUCGCGUGGGAUGUAUGCGAUCGCGUAGUAGGAUUUGAGGGCCCAGGGACUUUGUGCAUUGCGUUCGCAUUAAUUUGAAUGCAAUCGCAUAAGUCUGGCCAGUGAAGCUAGGCCUGGUAACUUUGUUCUAUGCGAUCGCAGGGGCUUGGAUGCGAUCCCAUAGAAGGAAAUAGUUGGGCAGAGAAGGGUUUUUAAUAACAUUUCAUCCGCGAACCAAACCUAUUUUCCACCAUUGUUAAGCAACCAAGUCUGAAGUCUACAACAAACAAGUGGGAGAGGCAGGAUUCGACCUACGUAGAAAAACUUUAACAGAUAUACAGUCUGCCACUUUUGACCACUCGGCCACACUCCCCUUCCCAAGCCGAGGCCCCCCUCAAUGGGUUCUAAUUCUAAGAAGGGGGGCGGCACCCUGAAUCAAUCAAAAAGCUUAUUGAUUUAAUUGAAGGGAACUAAGACGAUUAGCUUAGCUAGCGUUCCGGGAGAAUCUAGUCAUUUAGUCAGUUCAUAACUAUCUCUGUAAAGCAAGGGGUAAAGCUUCUACGAAAGCUUCCCCCUCAUGUAGUCGUCGGCCUUCCCCAGCCCCCCCUCGUCGCUUCUGGCGAAGCUGCGAGUUCAUGAGCAAGUGAAUGAAGGAGCCAUGUUCUGCUUCUACAAAAGCUUCGAGGAUCUUAAACUUCUUGAUCGUGAAAAAUCAAGUGAGCUUUCCCCCAUGACAUUUCUGUGGAACGAGCUUAGCUGCUAGGUGAAUCCCUAAAGUAGAUUAUGUCUCCGCAGCAUUGGAAUCAAUAUUUUGACUUUCCUGGUCUAUUUAAAUAACUGAAGCUAGCCGAAUACGAACUAACGGAAUACUACUUUGUUUCUGUUUUGUUUGUGGACAAAUGAUAUCCGUUCAGGUGUAUGGCUGGAUCCUUUUAGAUCUACGGGCCGGCCGGCCCCGGCCGUUUACAUGAGCAUAGGGAAUCUAUACUCGAGCGUUCCACUGGGCCCCUGACAGGAUAGGUGAGGAUUGCUUUUUGAGUGAUUUGAAGCGUGUUUUCAACGGGUAUUGAUUGGAGGUAAGUCUCUUGACUUAAAAACACCAUUUUUAUGACGAAUCAACCCGCAAAUCCAUGAAUCAUGCUGGAAUUGUGAAGAAUUAGGGCUUAGUUUUUGAAAAUAAAUUUAAGGUCUUUGAAAGGUCAUUCGAGCUCCGUUUUUGACAAACUUUAUGUGUACGGACACGUGGAGUGACGAGGAAUCCAUUGAUAUUAUUUUUGGAAUUUUUUUAGAAGUGGGCUCGGGGCUCGGUUUUUACCAACUUCGUGAUUUUCAGUAUUUUUUUGAGUAAUUUCGAUUGGGUUAUGUUUCUUAAACAUAUAAUAACCUAUCCGUUAUGGUUUUGGCUAGAUUCGACGUGCGAGGAGGUUGAUCCGAGUGGCAAGAGUGUUGCUAACUAGUUUUCGGUUGGCUAGAGGUGAGUAAUUGAUGCACUGACGUGCUGAGGGUUUGAAACCCCAGACUUUCACAUCGUAAUGCUAUAUUGAGGUGUGACACGCAUUCUACGAUGAGUGCGGGGACGGAUACAGUUGGGGAUUGAGACCUAGUCCAUCCUGAGUGAUUAUUGCUAUUAUAUUGGCGACUGAAACGCAUUCCUUGUUAUUGUGGACUGGGCUUAUUGCCAUGUUUGGGGCCAUGUACCGACUUGUGGAAUCCUUAGGGGAUCUUUAUAUGUUUUCUUCACUUGUGUGCAUCACAUAGAUUCUCAGUCACGUGUUCAAAUAAUAAAUAAAUAUAAUAACUGUGUUUUAUACAUAACUUAAAAUGAAAAAGGAUAUGAAGGCUGAGAUCCCUAUAGUAUGUCCCGUCCGAUUGAUGGUGGACUUGUUUGACUGAGAUGGGUCGGGGACCCUGUAGUGAGGGUGUUUUCCUGAUAUGGAUUGGGCUACACGUCGUAGCAAUUAUAUAUAUUCAUAUUGAGGCUGAGAGCCUGUUUUAAUAGUGAGGAUGAUUUCCUGAUAUGGAUCGGGCUACAAGCCGUAGCGAUUAUAUAUAUAUUGAUAUUGACGCUGAGAGCCUUAUUUACGCCAAUACCUGGCUGAUAUUGCACUUGGGCUGUAGGAGCCCCUCCGAAGUGUGUACACCCCAAUAAGAGUCGUCGACGUUAAAUAAGUAGAGCGGGCAGCACGCCUUAGCGGGUAUUAGAUUAUACCGUUAUGUGUAUUGUUUUUAUGCCAUGUGUUAUUCCUUAAAUAUGUUAAGUUGUUGUAUGCUGUUUCUACUGUUUGGAUAUAAAUUGCUAGAUAUAGAGUACUUUGUGCACUUAUUGUUUUUUCUUUCUUUUAGCCUUUAGUUAUAUCUAUUACCACUGAGUUGAAAGUACUCACUUUACUCCCUGCACCUUGUGUGCAGAUCCAGGACAGUCUCAGGCUGAGUGAUUCCAGCGGAUUCAGAGUUCUUUCGGGAGUAUUUGGGGUAACUGCAGGGCCUUCGCAGCCGAUGAUUCUCCCUUCUAUCUUUAUCCUUUAUUCCCGCAUUAUCAGUGUUAGACAGACUUGUAAUAGGAUAUUAUUCUGUCAAGAGAGGUUCAUGGUCGUGACACCGGGUCCUAGUUGGGUUGUUUUGGUAUUUUCUAAGAUUUUUCGUAAUUUUAUCAGUAUUUCAGACUUUGACUUAGAUGGUUUCUAUCUUUACUUGUUAAAUAAUUGGAGUAACCGUUAGAAAUGGUCGGGCUUGCCUAGUAGUGUGCUGGGCGCCAUCACAAUCGGAAUGGGUCGUGACAAGUUGGUAUCAGAGCCUAAGUUACUUGGUCUCGCGAGUCAUGAGCCGAUUUAGCAGUGUCUCGAGUAUCGGUACAGAGAUGUCUGUACUUAUCCUCGGGAGGCUGCAGAACCUUUAGGAAACACUUCACUUUAUCAAAAUUCAUAUCGUGCGGCCCUGUCACUAUGAAAACUAAACCUCUGUAUUCUAUUCUCUCACAGAUGGUGAGAACCCGUGCUAAUGAACGUGGCGGACGACCACCAUUGCCACCUACUAGGGGCCGUGGGUGCGGUUGUGGUGCUGGUCGAGGCAGACCAGCAGGGGCAACACCUACAGACCCACAAGCUGUCCAGUGCCAGGACUAGCCUCCAGCUCUAGAUGCUCCAACAACACCGGUCCAGACACUGGCAGUGCCCAUUAUGAUUCCUGGUCUUCAGGAUUCCCUAGCACAAAUCCUAUUAGUUUGUACUGGCCAGGCUCAGGCAGUUUCAGCUACCAUAGAAGCAGCUACUUCACAGGCCGGGGAAGGAAAUUAGACCCCUGCUGCCUGCACACCUGAGCCGGCAGUGCAGGGUCUGCAGACCCCAGAGUCACUACCAGCUCAGCAGGUUGCCCAGCUCAGCCGGUUGCACCAGUUCAGGAUAAUAUGGUUCCAGUUGUCACACCUCCUAUUUACACACCUACCCCGGAGGAUAAAUGGAUAAGGGAAUUUUUCCAUUUAAAGUGACAUUAUUCGGAUCGGGAUUAUUUAUUUAUUCAGAGUNNNNNNNNNNNNNNNNNNNNNNNNNNNNNNNNNNNNNNNNNNNNNNNNNNNNNNNNNNNNNNNNNNNNNNNNNNNNNNNNNNNNNNNNNNNNNNNNNNNNNNNNNNNNNNNNNNNNNNNNNNNNNNNNNNNNNNNNNNNNNNNNNNAAGGUUUGGCUUUUGGUGUGCCAAGUCACCGGUUUAGCUUGAAUCCCGAAUGAAGGAAAAUUUUGACUUCCCUAAUGGAGUCUGCGAACCAUAAAUUCUGUAUAAAGAAUUUUGUUGACCCGAGGGAAGGUGUUAGGUACCCUCGGAUCCCGUGGUUCUAGCACGGUUGCUUAAAUUGCUAUGAAUGGCUAAAAUCUGAUUUUAUUACAUGAAGAGCCUAUGUGCCAAUUUUUACUGUUUACCGCAUUUAUUUAAUAUGAAUUUAUUUAAGACAAAGUGAACGUCAUUUAAAGUGUGUUUUCGGAUUGCGGCAUCAAAUUAACCCGCAAUCCUGGCACACUCUAUGCAACGUUUUAGGAUUUGGAUUUGGGCCGCAUAAAAUGCCCACCCGUAUUUAGGAAUGUAGUUUAGUAAAGUCACGCCUAAUAAAGUCUAACGCGUUGUACUCUUUUGGAGGGCCGUGAAAUUCUCUAAACGGCCCUUUCCAAUUUCUAAAAUAUUUUUAUAAUUGUUUAUCGAAAGCCCCGCAUUAGAUUUUUGUUUGGCGAGGUUCGUCUCAUAAUUUUAUUUAAGGCCUAUCUAAAGUACCUAAAUUACCUAGUCCAAUUUGCCUCUAAAGUAAAGGAAAAUCCUAACUCAAAGCCUAGUAUCAAUUAUUCAAGAAAACUGUUGAAAGAAAAUCUAGAUUAGGCCCAAAGUGUUGGCCCAAUGUGCCAAUAAAAGAGCAGAAUGGCAGCCUCAAAGUUUCAGCACUGGGAUCAAUUCCCAACAAGCACCAAUAUAGUACAAACUCACGUAAUAAGACUAGUCAUCAAUGUGCAAAAAAAUUGCCUAACGCUAUUCGCACAUGAUUUUGAAAGUAGUAACAUAAAGUAGCACAUCAGAACACAUUUUUUAUAAAAGAUAAUCUCAACCUAUGAUUUUGAUUAUUCUGAAAUCAAAUUACUGGAUGUAAAUAUCGAAUUUGCAACUACCAAUUAACGGUAAUUAACCACUGAAAACUUAUCAGUUUUUACCCUGUGUUCGUAACUACAAUGUCAGUUUAGGCAUUCCUCCAUAACACACAAUACUUCAAAUGAUGCAAUACUAUAGCCUUCAAGUUCAAAUGAUGCAAGGUUAAUCAAUCCAAUUCCAGUUAAAGUUGAGACUAUUUUCUAAUUAUCUACUGAUGGACUAUUAGAUAUCAUUGUGAUAAAACAAAGCAAAUUAGGAAGCAAUGCUCAGGCAAUCCAAAAUUUCAUGCAUAUUGAUUUCUUAACACAUAUGGGAAUCCAAGAGCUUGAAACAGUUUCUCACUUCAACUAUUCAUCCAACUUUGAUAAUCAGAUCAAUGAGAACCAAAUUACACUAGUUAAAACUAGAGGAUAGUUGUCAUCUCCAAUUCCAUACUUAACAGUUCAACAACUACCAAAACAAAAUCUCAAGCUAAUUAACAAUCAACUACAAAAGUAGCAAUUGAAAAGGUCCAAGGCAGUACCAAUUAACAACCAUAUUAUCAAUUGUCACUCAACAACAAUACCAUAACACAGGAGGAAUACUCAGUUAAAACAAGGAACUCAUCAAAGUAGAUUUGAACAACUCUUCAUUUCACUUCAAAAAGCCAAGAGUGUACAAAUGUGUACCUGGAAAAUGGCAAAUAAGAAAGAUAAAAGGAUCAGCAGCAAUGAGUGUAACAACAGUCAAUGAGAACCCAAAUCAACAGUAUAUUUGAGCAUAACCCAGAAAAUAUAUUCAAACCAACGACCUAGACCCAGUUGAAAACAAGCAGCAACGACAGAACAACCAAAAACAAAACAGGCUAAAUGAACCCUAAUUUGUUCGAAAUCAACUGUGAAUAACCCAAAAACUUCAACAACUAAUGAUAGAGCCAGGAAGUGGGAAUUAUGAACUAGAAUAUCAAGAUUAGUCUACGAAAUGAAACAGUGAACCCUUUUUUUGGAUUUUCAUAGCUUUGUAUUUUUUCUUGAGAUUUUUUUAAGAAGAAAAAGAAAUUUCUAAUCUAAUGUCAAUAUAAAAAAUGGAAUUUUUGUAUUUCUGGAGAUAUCACUACUUUUCUAUGGAAAUUCUCGCUGAAGGUCCCCCCUCUAAGGCAUGAAACAUGACUCUUUAUAGGAAAUAGUGAGGACAACCCUCAAAUUCCUAUUUUACACUAACAUCCCCUCAUUAUUUCAGCUUCAGUCCCUUAAAUUUUAACUUGCUGCUAAAGAAAAUGCUCCCAAAAGCUGAGAGUUACAGCUUAACCCUAAUCUAGAAGCUUCCCACCUAGGAUUCCUUAAGUAUAUUUUUCUUUUUUAUCCCUCAUUAACCUUAGUCAUUUUAACCUCAUAUCCUUCCCCUCAAAAUAUCUGCACCUCACAUGCCAUUCCAGCCUUAUCUUCUACAACAGAAAAUAUUCCCUUCCUCCAAUUACCAAGACACCCCUAGAUAGCCUUGCAAUUACUAACCCUCCAUUAACCACAACAAGCCAUUACCCCAGGCUAUCUAAUCUAUGGUUAACUAAGGAGCAAUUCAUUUCAGCUAUAACCAAUCUCACAAACAAAACAAACGACCCAAAUUCAAUCUAGAAGAACAAAAUCCAAACAUAAAAACAAAGUCUGAAGUCAAUAUCUUAUUGGAACAAAUGAGCAUCAUAUCCUUCCCCUCAAAAUAUCUGCACCUCACAUGCCAUUCCAGCCUUAUCUUCUACAACAGAAAAUAUUCCCUUCCUCCAAUUAUCAAAACACCCCUAGACAGCCUUGCAAUUACUAGCCCUCCAUUAACCACAACAAGCCAUUACCCCAGGCUACCUAAACUAUGGUUAACUAAGGAGCAAUUCAUUUCAGCUAUAACCAAUCUCACAAACAAAACAAACGACCCAAAUUCAAUCUAGAAGAACAAAAACCAAACAUCAAAACAAAGUCUGAAGUCAAUAUCUUAUUGGAACAAAUGAGAAGAUUAAUUAAGCUAACGACUAAUUGACGAUUGAGCAUUCAAACUAACAACGAAUCAAAAACAACUCAAAAUUUAAACAAAAGACUAAAACUGGCCUAAGACGAAUAAACCUAUCAAUUAGAACAAUUAAUAGAUGAACUCAGGUUUUAACUAGAAAACUAAACUCAUGCUCGAUUAAACUAAACAAAACGACAAAACAAAUUAAAAGAUAAAGAAAGAAAGAACUUACUAAUUUCAGCCUUCGAAUAAAAAUUUCCGAAAAAAUAACUUCGAGCUAAUAUUUUAGGUCUAUUUCAUAAGUAAUAGACCUAUGAUAUUAGCCCGAAGCCACUCGUCUUUGAAAAACCUUUAAACAUCCCCAAUGAUUUGACCCUCUAAUUCAACUUCGCCCUAUUAUAGUGGUUUUUGACAGAAAAUAAUGAGGUAUAUGAGAUGAAGGAGGCCUAAGGUAGGUGUGGUGUGAAUUUGGGUUCAUUUGAGUGAGUUGAAGAUUUGGCCGCAAAUUACGAUUUGAAUUUCGAGAAAAUUUGUUUAUAUUCGAUGGCCAACGAUUGCAUAUUUGGGCUGAGGGGAUCAAGGAGGUUCGGGGGUGUGGCUUUGGGAGAUUGGAGGUUCUCCGCCGCUGUGGGCGAUUUUCACCGACGGAAGUGGGCGGAGAUGACUGGAGCAGGCUAAGAUGAAGAAGAUGAUACGAGGAAGAAGCCUAUGGUCGAUUGAAAUUACACAAGCGUUAUUAUAUAUAAAUUUAAAUCUCAGGGAACUAAAUGGACCAACGAUUAACAUGUUUGGACGUCUGAGAUCAAAAGGGGGGAAAGAUGGACGACGUCGUUUCACUUCUGGGGCAGGUCUGGACCGGGUUUGGUCUUGGACAGGGUUAGGCAACUUUACUUGGGCCAAACAAAUUUAAUUUUAAAAGUGGCCCAACUUAGAUCUCAAAAGAUAACCCUCUUCCUUAUUUCUUCCUCCUUUAAUUUACUUCUUUUUAUUCUAUUUUCUCAUUUUUUUAAUUUUUAAUAUUGUAAAAGAAAUGCAAGAAAUAAAAAAUGAACCUAAUUUGAUUCUAAAAUUAAGCUAGCUAAUUUAUAAAAUUAUUUAAAAACUAUUUUACGACCAAUUGGACAAUUAUAAGUAAAACACAAGAAAAGGCAAUUUUUGGCUGUUUUUCUUGUUUUACUAAUGCUAAAUAAAUUAACAAACUAAAAUUAAACUCCUAAAAAUACUAGUGCAAUAUUUUGUAUUUUUCGAUAGUUAUGGCAAUCAAAUACACAGAAAUGCAAAUAAAACACAAAAUUGAACAAUUAAUUCCUAAGGAAUAAAAAGUUCUAAUUUAAAUAAGUUUAUAGGAGUAAUUAAAAUAUGACAAAAAUCACAUGCUCAUAGCUGCCCCUCUUUGCUCGAAGACAUGAAGAGUUUUCGGGCAAAGACAAAUGAGCAACUAUAAGAUUUUUGCCUGUUUAGCACUCCAUGGGAAGAAUUUUAAAAAUCGUCUGACUGAACCUUGCUUCAAGGGUUUCCUACAUAUCGUUGGCUAUAAAAGAAUCAGGUUAGCGUAGUUCUGGAGUGUUUGGUAGCUGGGACUACCAGAAGCUGUGAUUUUACUGUUGUGGUUGCUACUACUGCUUGCUGACCUCCUUAUUACACCUAUGGAAAAUCAAAGCUAAGCUAACUAAGCCUAUCGACUAUGAGUUACAAGAUUCCUAUCUAUAAUUCUCUUUGAACUUGAUCUUGAGUCUUAGCUGAUUUUGUUGUAGACUUCAACCUGAAUCUUGAUGCUCACGGGUUAUGAGGGCCUAUUUCUUCAUGCACCAUUGAGCCGAGGUAGCUUGUGACUCAGAUUCUUAGUAAUCUGCACUCUUGUUUACCUCACAUUCGAGUUCAUUUCUUUUUGUUCUUUUCUUCUUUUCUUUAUUUGAAUUGGGACUUGUUUCAUCGGUCAUCUCGCACCUUGUGCCCUGCGGUCAAACCUGUUUAAAAAUAUCAAAGCAAACAAACGAACGAAAAUUUCUGCCCCAAUUUUACUAGGAAAAUUUCGCGAGUCAGUUGUGACACAUACGACAAUAAAACUAGAAAAGGCUCUUCCAUUGUGUCCCAGAGAUUCUCGGUUUUUAGACUGGAUUUUGAAAAGCAAUCACUCCACGAUUUUCUGGCUGGGAGAUCCUUGGUUUUUUGGCCGGGAUUUUAAAAAGGAAAAGAUCCACGAUUUUCUGGCGGGAGAUCCUCGGUUUUCUGGCUGGGAUAUUUUGAAAAGAAAAAGCUCCACGGUUUUCUGGCAGAGAGAUCCUUGGUUUUCUGGCCGGGAUAAUUUGAAAAGAAAAAGCUCCAAGAUUUUCUGGCCGGGAUAUUUUGAAAAGAAAAAGCUCCACGGUUUUCUGGCCGGGAAAUCCUUGGUUUUUAGGCUGGGAUAUUUUGAAAAGAAAAAUCUCCAUGAUUUUCUGGCCGGGAGAUCCUCGGUUUUUGGCCGGGACUGUAAAAAGAAAAAGCUCCACAAUUUUCUGGCCGAGGGAUCCUCAGUUUUAUGGAUGGGAUAUUUUGAAAAGAAAAAGCUCCACGGUUUUCUGGCCGGGAGAUCCUAAGUUUUCUGGCCGGGAUAUUUUGAAAAUAAAAAGCUCCACGGUUUUUCACCCGGGAGAUCCUCGGUUUUAUGGCCGGGAUAUUUUGUAAAGAAAAAGCUCUACGAAUUUCUGGCCGGAAGAUCUUCGGUUUUCAGGCCGGGAAAUUUUGAAAUGAAAAGGCUCCACGGUUUUCUGGCUGGGAGAUCCUCGGUUUUCUGGCUGGGAUUUUCAAAAGAAAAAGCUCUACGGUUUUCUGGCCGGGAUAUUUUAAAAAGAAAAAGCUCCACGAUUUUUUGGUCGGGAGAUCCUCGGUUUUCUGGCUGGGAUUUUGAAAAUAAAAAGCUAAGCUGCCAUGAUUUGAUUCUCUUUUGGGGGAUUUUCCCAUUUCUUUCCUUAUUCCUUUUUGGGUUUUUCUUUUUAGAUGUUUUUCUUUUUAUUUAUAAAAAUGUAUGAAAGAAUGUUUUGAAAAGAAACAUUCCUUUUGGGUCGUUUUCCCUGUUGCAGAACUAUUUCGACACUCGUGCAUUUCAUUUCUUUUUGGGCUGCACCUGCUUUUUGCACAACUGUUUUGAAUAAGAUCUAUUUUCAACAAAGAAAAAUUUAUUAGUUGAAACGGUGGUUGGUUUUGUGGCCUUGAUCAUCUUCAUCGCUUGAUCCCAACCCCAUUUCCAUUGGAAAUUCUGCUGCUUGUUGGCCUUGAAGGUGAAUCUCUUUCACACUAACCGGGUUCAGCCUUAGGAUGUCAUGAUGACUCGCCCAUGUGUGCUCUGGUUUUCCACCUCAUUUUGCUUUCCAGACCUUUCCCUUUGGCUUUCUUUCUUUUCUAAUGUCUUUCACUUUUGAGGCAAUCAACCACCAUGGUCAGUCGGGAUUGAACUGGCGCACCACUGAGGUUGAGUAUUUCUUUUACUCUUGCCGGGCAGAGCCCUGUGAAACUGGUCCUGCCACCUUUUCUCUGUAAUUAAUACAAAAUCAAAGUUAAACCUAAAGGGAUUCAAAGAAAAGUAUGCAAAAAGGCAAGUAUAUGAGUUUAAAGAGAAACGUCCCUUUCGGGGGAAAAGAAGGACUUAUCUGGGGUGCAUGCUGACUCCAAAUGAACAUAACAUGCUCCUUGGACUGGACACCCGACCCGCACCAGCUUCCAACUUCUCAUGAACCCAUUGACCCAUAUUUCCAAACUUUGGAACCAUGCCAGGACUUUUAGUGAUGAAGCAUCCUCUUUUCGGCCGACAGCGCUCUUUGCGGGUUUUUGCCCAUUCGACCUCUCUCAUUUCUCUUCUCACCAUUGCCCGAUAGCGCUCUUUGCGAGUCGCUAAGUGGACUCUCUCAUUUUUUAUUUCUCUACUCACAGUCUUCUUAUGGCGCCCGAAGGUUUUCACCGAUAAGACUCUCUCAUUUUAUUUCUCUCUAUUUGAAUUGUAUCAGAUUCCAACAAUGAUAUUUUCCACAUUCCUGUCUUCGCCAAUUGAUCAAAAGGAGUUGGACAAGGUCAUUAGGGUAAAAGGAUUUUGGGCGGAACUACAACUUUGGAACCAUUUCGGCGGUCUCAUGGCCGAACCAUUAUAUCAUCUGCCCCAGUCUCACUUUUUGAGGGAAUUGGGAUUUUUGUUUUGGUGUGACUGAACCUCAGGGAGAGGAUGCCUACGUAUCCUUUCAGAAUCAAGUCAGACGUAGUUCAGGGAAUUUAAUUUUUUUGUUUCAGUUUAUUUUUUGUAUUUCGGGUUCCAAAGAGGGUAAUCAAAGAAAGGUAACCGACUCAAAGGGUUUACGAGGGACUAAAAAGCCUUCUUCAUUUCAGUUGCACGAAGACGUCCCUGAUGGAAGUUUAGACAUAAUACCUUUUAACUGCAUCUGCAUUCACCACUACUUCGGGAUCAUUCCCUUCUAUAUCACCUAGGUAUAACACUCCUCUUGGCAGUAUCUUCCUGAUGAUGUACGGACCUUUCCAGUUAGGGGAAAAUUUGCCUUUGGCUUCCUGAUGAUGAGGAAGAAUGAGUCUUAACACUAAUUGUCCCACUUCAAACUUCCUAGGUCGUACUUUCUUAUUAUAGGCGCGGGACAUUCUUUGUUGAUACAACUGCCUAUGACAAACUGCAACUAUCCGUUUCUCAUCGAUUAAAGACAAUUGUUCCAACCGAGUUUUAACCCACUCACUAUCUUCAAUUUCUGCUUCAAAAAUUAUCCGGAGCGAAGGGAUUUCCACUUCUGCCGGGAUCAUAGUCUCAGUUCCAUAAACUAUCAAAUACGGAGUUGCUCCAACCGAUGUGCGUACCGUAGUGCGAUAUCCCAGUAAGGCAAAAGGUAAUUGUUCAUGCCACUGCCUAGAGCUUUGGAUUGUCUUUCUCAAAAUCUUCUUGAUGUUUUUGUUCGCUGCUUCAACAGCGCCAUUGGCUUUGGGCCUAUAAGGAGUGGAAUUUCUAUGCGUUAUUUUGAACUGCUCGCACAUUCUUGAUGUUUUUGUUCGCUGCUUCAACAUCGUCAUUGGCUUUGGGCCUAUAAAGAGUGGAAUUUCUGUGCGUUAUUUUGAACUGCUCGCACACUUCUUCCAUCAAAUGGCUGUUAAAAUUUGGAGCAUUCUCCGUGAUAAUGGUUACUGGAAUAUUGAAAUGGAAGAUAACACCCGAGUGCACAAAAUCCACUACAACCUUUUUAGUGACUGAAGUGAGAGUGAUAGCCUCAACCCACUUCGUAAAAUAAUGAACAGCUACCAAUAUGAACCUGUGCCCAUUUGAGGCUUUUGGCUCGAUCGGUUCAAUGACAUCCAUACCCCAUGCGACAAAAGGCCAAGGUGCUGACAUGGGACAUAGUUCUGUUGGACGUGCAUGAAUCGGAUCUCCAUGCACCUGACAUUGAUGGCAUUUCUGGACAAAACUGAAGCUAUCUUUCUCCAUGGUUAUCCAAUAAUACCCAGCUCGGAGUAUCUUCUUUGCCAACACAUACCCUUUCAUGUGAGGUCCGCACACCCCGGCAUGCACUUCAUGCAUGAUUCUUCCUGCUUCUUCGGCGUCAACGCAUCUUAAUAAAUUGAGGUCUGGAGACCUAUUGUACAAGAUUUCACCACUUACACAUUGAGGUCCGCACACCCUGGCAUGCACUUCAUGCAUGAUUCUUCCCGCUUCUUAGGCUUCAACACAUCUUAAUAAAUUGAGAUCUGGAGUCCUUUUGUACAAGAUUUCACCACUUAGAAAGAAAUCACUCGCCUGUCGCCUUCUCUUUUGAUCCCCAGUGGUAUGUUCGGGAUAUUUUUAUGUUUUCAAGAAUCUUUUAAUAUCAUGAUACCAUGGUUGGACGCUUGGCCCUGCUUCAACUGCAUUACAAAAACCAUUUGAUUUUCAAGGGAUCAAUGUAGGCAUUGCUCGGAUAAGGGAGCAUCGAGGCUAGAGUAGCAAGUGCAUCAGCUAAUUCAUUAUGACACCGUGGGAUGUAUCUGAAUUAUAUCGAUUUGAAAUUCUUGCCGAGAUCUUCUACAUGAUGUCGGUAAGGAAUGAGCUUGACAUCUCGGGUUUCCCAUUCUCCCCGAGCUUGUCGAAUAAUCAAAUUAGAAUCCCCUAUGAUCAAUAAUUCUUCCACAUCUUGAUCAAUCGCUAUAUUCAUGCCCAUGAUGCAGGCUUCAUACUCAGCAGUGUUGUUUGUACAGAAAAAAUGAAGCCUUGUGGUAGCUGGGUAAUGUUGGCCAGUUGGCGAAAUUAAAAUUUCCCCAAUUCCUACAUCCUUGGCGUCCACUGCUCCGUCGAAGAACUUUUUCCAAGCAUGAGUAUCUUAAAUUACCACUUCUAUCGUGUUUACUUCUUCAUUCAGGAAGUAAGUGUUCAACGACUGGUAUUCUUCAUCAACCAGAUUUUCAGCCAAAUGAUCCGCCAGUGCCAAGGCUUUCAUUGCCGUGCGAGUCACGUAAACUAUAUCAAAUUCAGUAAGCAAGAUUUUCCACUUCGCCAAUCUCCCAGUAGGCAUAGGUUUCUGGAAUAUGUACUUCAAAGGAUCCAACCUGGUUAUGAGGUAAGUAGUGUGACCUUGUAGAUAAUGUCUCAGCUUUUGAGCGACCCAUGUCAAAGCACAACACGUUCUUUCUAACAGAGUGUACUUGACCUCGUAACUGGUGAAUUACUUACUCAAAUAAUAAAUCGCUUGCUCUUUCUUCCAGUCACAUCAUGUUUCCCGAUAACGCAACCAAAAGAGUUUUCCAAAACCGCCAGAUACAAGAAAAUGGGUCUACCUGGCUCUGGUGGGACCAAAACUGGAGGGUUUGACAGAUAUUCUUUGAUUUUGUCAAAAGCCUCCUGACACUCAGUUGUCCAUUUGACUGCCGCAUCUUUCUUUAAUAAUUUGAAUAUUUGGUCACAUGUGGUGGUCAAUUGAGUCAUAAACCGACUGAUAUAGUUCAACCUUCCUAGAUGACUCAUCACAUCUUUCUUUAUUUUUCAAGGAGGUAAAUCUCGGAUGACCUUUAUUUUCGUAGGGUCUAACGCGAUACAUAUCCUGCUGAUAAUGAAACCCAGAAGUUUGCCGGAUUGGACCCCGAACACACAUUUAGUCGGAUUCAGCUUCAGAUCAUAUUUCCGCAGCCUUUCAAAAAACUUCCGCAAAUCUCGGAUAUGAUCAUCCCGAGUUUUAGACUUAAUGAUCACGUCAUCCACAUACACCUCUAACUGUUGAUGCAUCAUAUCAUUAAAAAUGGUGGUCAUGGCUCUCAUAUAAGUUGCUCCAGCAUUUUUCAUACCAAAUGGCAUGACCCGGUAAUAGUAGGUACCCUAGGGUGUAGUGAAAGUUGUUUUCUCGGCAUCUUCUUCAUCCAUCAACACUUAGUGAUAUCCUACUUAAAAAUCCACGAAUGACUGUAUCUCGUGUUCGGCGCAGUUAUCAAUAAAGAUGUGGAUGUUGGUGAAAGGGAAGUUGUCCUUGGGACUCGCCCGGUUCAAGUCUCGAUAAUCAACAUAUACCCAAAUUUCCCCAUCUUUCUUGGGUACAUGAACUACAUUGGCCAACCACGUAGUCUACCGAACCACCCGGAUUACCCCUACUUUCAACUGCUUUGUGAUUUCUUCUUUGAUCUUGUCAUUGAUGUCAGUUUUAAAUUUCCUCUGUUUCUAUUGAACAGGAGGGCAGUCAGGGUGAAUUGGCAAUUUAUGUACCACUUGAUCAACACUCUAUCCUGGCAUGUCAUCGUAUGGCCAAGCAAACACAUCUUGGAACUCAAACAAAAGUUGAAUUAUUUCAUUUCGCAUUUUCUGGUCAGUUUGAAUGCUUAUCUUUAUUUCACAAAUUUCUUCUGAGGUUACC
rnacentral:lncRNA from 1 species